CACGUCAGCGCGAUUUGCUGACGUGGACACAAAUCGCUAUUACGUGGACGCGUUUUUUUGCCACGUCAGCAAAGCGCACUGACGUGG
rfam:Gossypium raimondii Chr09_contig_97, whole genome shotgun sequence.